UAUGGCUUUCCAAACGAUCCUGUCCCGAAGAAAAACCACCCGCAGCACGACUCUACAUUGAGGGCUGAGCCGGAGCGAAGUUCAAGGCUUUCUCAUGGUCUCCUGGGGAUGCCUGGGACUCAGGCCUCUGAAGCCGACAUUGACCGACGGGCUCUGGUCCGGGUCCUGCACAGCAGCCGCAUGCAGACAGCUCGUGGGGCCUUGCCUGGUGUGUCAGGAGCAGAGGGAAGCACUAUAGCUAGUUAUUACCAGGCAUCCGAGCCAUGUUUGGCACAACCUGACCACCAAACAAGAUGAGUUUUGGCUGGCGCCCCAUGCGGUGGAAGACAGACCACUUACCUGCUCUGUAUGCCUGGAUUCCAGUGGGAAGAUCCCGGCCAGUCUAAAAACCGUGGCUUUGGCUUGGAGCUGGGAAGACGGGUUCGCAACCCACAUGGUUUCCGUUACAUCUGCUCCUCAAUGCCUGGUACCAGGCAACAGCAGCUGAGGCAGUGUGUAAAUGAGUGGUCAUGGCUGACUUCCGCGAGGACACAGGAAGUACACCCAGAACCCACCCCUCUGUAAAGGUGGUGUGAACACUGGAAAAUUGACUAAAA